rnacentral:rRNA from 1 species
UACGUAGGGUGCAAGCGUUAAUCGGAAUUACUGGGCGUAAAGCGUGCGCAGGCGGUUUUGUAAGUCAGAUGUGAAAUCCCCGGGCUUAACCUGGGAACUGCGUUUGAAACUACAAGGCUAGAGUGUGGCAGAGGGGGGUGGAAUUCCACGUGUAGCAGUGAAAUGCGUAGAGAUGUGGAGGAACACCGAUGGCGAAGGCAGCCCCCUGGGCCAAUACUGACGCUCGAUGCACG